UACGGAGGUGGCAAGCGUUGCUCGGAAUCACUGGGCGUAAAGGGCGCGUAGGCGGGGAGGUAAGUCGGGUGUGAAAUCCCUCGGCCCAACCGAGGAACUGCGCCCGAGACUGCUUCUCUUGAGUCCCGGAGAGGAAGAUGGAAUUCCCGGUGUAGCGGUGAAAUGUGUAGAGAUCGGGAGGAACACCAAUGGCGAAGGCAGCUCGCUGGAACGGUACUGACGCUGAGGCGCGAAAGCGUGGGGAACGAACAGG
rnacentral:rRNA from 1 species